rnacentral:rRNA from 1 species
UACGGAGGAUGCAAGCGUUAUCCGGAAUGAUUGGGCGUAAAGCGUCCGCAGGUGGCAAUGUAAGUCUGCUGUCAAAGCGUCUGGCUCAACCAGAUAAAGGCAGUGGAAACUACAUAGCUAGAGUAAGGUAGGGGUAGAGGGAAUUCCUGGUGUAGCGGUGAAAUGCGUAGAGAUCAGGAAGAACACCGGUGGCGAAAGCGCUCUGCUGGACCUUAACUGACACUGAGGGAGCGAAAGCUAGGGGAGCGAAUGGG